AUGAACGGCUCCGACCACGACAACGAGGCCUUUCCGAUGGCCGCCGACGAACAGCCACACCAAGACUCUGCGGUCGUUUCGCCGUCCCACGCGCCACUUCUCGCGAACUUGUUUCUGAUGACGCAAAUUACUGCGUAUGAAGGCGAUGUUUCCGACGACGACGAGAGGGACGGUGACUUCGGCGCUAUUGUGUAUGAAGACGAUGCUACCGACCGCGACGAGAGGGGCGGUGGCUUCGGCGCCGUCCCGGCCUCGGAAGAGGAGAUCGCGGGACUGGCACGGGCGGCCGUGGGGGAUACGAGGGAGGAGCAGUGCGUCGUGUGCUUGGAAAGUUUCAAGGAUGGUGACGACAUCAGGAAGUUGCCCUGCUCCCAUGGCUUCCACAACAGCUGCAUCUCCGAUUGGCUACGGGUCAGCUGCCUCUGCCCGCAAUGCCGCUUCGCGCUGCCGGCCGACGACGAGUGGUCCAAGCCCAAGACCGAGUUUGAGCAUAGCGCUACCGACUAUGAUGGGUAUGAGAACGAUGCAGGCCCUGCUGGUACUGACGACGGCGACGACGACGAUGACAACCACGAUGACGAUGAAGAUGAUGAUGAGAGUCGUGUUUACUUGAUAAUUAAUGUAGGGCGGUCUAUUUGA
rnacentral:rRNA from 1 species